UACGUAGGUGGCAAGCGUUGUCCGGAUUUACUGGGCGUAAAGAGCGCGCAGGCGGUCGUUCAAGUCGCGUGUGAAAGCCCCCGGCUCAACUGGGGAGGGUCACGCGAUACUGAUCGACUCGAAGGCAGGAGAGGGUAGUGGAAUUCCCGGUGUAGUGGUGAAAUGCGUAGAUAUCGGGAGGAACACCGGUGGCGAAGGCGGCGACCCGGGUAGAUACUGACGCUGAGGUGCGAAAGCGUGGGGAGCAAACAGG
rnacentral:rRNA from 1 species